UGCAAGUUUUCUGUACAGCAGUGAUAAAGAAAACCUCCAAAUGUGACUUAAUAGGCAAAGAUGAAAGGCAGCAGGACAAUUCAGGUCAUCUCACAACUGUCUGUAUCCUGCAUUUGAUACCAGACCAAAGAGCAGAUAGAGCACCAAUGCUUUAACAGGACAAGCCACUCAACAGUCCUAUGAAAUGUAACUUUGUUGAGGGCAGCUGUGUGAUUCCAUCUGCUAAGGCACUGUUCUGGUGUAGAUGUGGUUCGGGGUCUGGCAUCCUGGUGGCAUAUUACUGCCGUUACAACACUCAGGGAGUACGGGAUCUCAGUGAGCGGUCAAGCAAACUAUCUGCAUGAACAAGCUACAUAUUAAAUGUUCUUCUUUGACUCAACAUCUGUGCAAGCCUAACUUGCGAAUUGCGGAGUAAAAUAUUCAGGUGCUUGAAAUCACACGUUUUGAGGGUUCGUGCCUAUCUGCAUUUUCCUGAUUUGACAGAAGCAGAUGCAGUGAAGAGCACAAACAAUUCUGGUAUACAUGCACUGAGCGAUAUCAUGGAUGGUCAUGGUUUAAGAACUUUUUCAGAUCUGAAAGAAACUUAUAACUUACCGGAUACUUCGUUUUUUCUUGUAUUUACAACUUCGGUCUGCUAUGCGGGCCUACGGGGUUCCAUGGUCUCAACCACCCAUUCACCCCUUAGUUACUUUCAUUAAAAAAAUACCAGGUUUACCCAAAGGACAAGUCUCCAUAAUAUAUAAAGAUUUAUUACAAAGAUCUUCAUCCUCAUUGCCUGUCAUUCAGGCUUGGAAUACUGAUUUUGGCAUACAACAACAUAUCAACUGGGUCAAAGUUUGGGGAAAUAUUAGCAUGGCAUCCCGAAACCCAAAUCAUCAGCUGAUCCACUUUAAUUUUGUCCACAGAACUUAUCUAA